UAAGAGGGUUGGAGUGAUCGCUCCAAUGUACAUUAACAUUAGAGAGGAAAGUCCGAGCACCACGGGAAAUCCCAGCCGCUAACAGCGCGCCGCAGCCCUUUGCAAAAUUGGCUGUAGGGAAAGUGCCACAGAGACAAUACUAAUCCGCCGUCUAAAACACGGACCGGAUAAAAGGUGAAAAGUCUCUAACAUUCAAAAUUUUGGAUGAAUAGAGAGGCCUUGACCAUAAUCGGUCAGGCAUGGCAAACCCUGGGAGGUGCAAGGUGGGAUGGACGAAUUUUUCUACUCCCAAAUGUAGAAUAUUCUCCCACCGCAACGAUUGCCGUGAAGUGCUGCAAAUUGUAUUUUACUUCGUCAACUGCGCAAUUUUCUAUUCGCCGUACCACUAAGUACGGCUCAGUCGAAAAUGACUUGUUUCCUUGUAAAAUACAAUUUGCAGCACUUCACAAAACAUCUUCUGUAAAUAACAGGAGGUCCAAAACGCAACGAAAGAUAGAUGAUCACAAUUACAAAACUCGGCUUAUGAAAACCAUCUUAAGAG
rnacentral:RNase_P_RNA from 1 species